AUUGAACGCUGGCGGCAGGCUUAACACAUGCAAGUCGAGCGGUAACACAGGGAGCUUGCUCCCGGGUGACGAGCGGCGGACGGGUGAGUAAUGUCUGGGAAACUGCCUGAUGGAGGGGGAUAACUACUGGAAACGGUAGCUAAUACCGCAUAAUGUCGCAAGACCAAAGAGGGGGACCUUCGGGCCUCUUGCCAUCAGAUGUGCCCAGGUGGGAUUAGCUAGUAGGUGGGGUAACGGCUCACCUAGGCGACGAUCCCUAGCUGGUCUGAGAGGAUGACCAGCCACACUGGAACUGAGACACGGUCCAGACUCCUACGGGAGGCAGCAGUGGGGAAUAUUGCACAAUGGGCGCAAGCCUGAUGCAGCCAUGCCGCGUGUAUGAAGAAGGCCUUCGGGUUGUAAAGUACUUUCAGCGGGGAGGAAGGUGUUGAGGUUAAUAACCUCAGCAAUUGACGUUACCCGCAGAAGAAGCACCGGCUAACUCCGUGCCAGCCGCCGCUGUAACAC
rnacentral:rRNA from 1 species